GGAGUUAGCCGGUGCUUCUUCUGUGAGUGAUGUCCUUCCUGCCGGCUAUUAACCCGCAGGCCUUCUUCCUCACUGAAAGUGCUUUACAACCCGAAGGCCUUCUUCACACACGCGGCAUGGCUGGAUCAGGGUUGCCCCCAUUGUCCAAUAUUCCCCACUGCUGCCUCCCGUAGGAGUCUGGGCCGUGUCUCAGUCCCAGUGUGGCUGAUCAUCCUCUCAGACCAGCUACGGAUCGUCGCCUUGGUUAGCCGUUACCUCACCAACCAGCUAAUCCGACAUAGGCUCAUCCGAUAGCGCGAGGCCCGAAGGUCCCCCGCUUUCCCCCGUAGGGCGUAUGCGGUAUUAGCCUGGGUUUCCCCAGGUUAUCCCCCACUACCGGGCAGAUUCCUAUGCAUUACUCACCCGUCCGCCGCUCGCCACCAGGGAGCAAGCUCCCCGUGCUGCCGCUCGACUUGCAUGUGUUAGGCCUGCCGCCAGCGUUCAAUCUGAGCCAGAAUCAAACUCUGA
rnacentral:rRNA from 1 species